CUACUGGGGUAUCUAAUCCUGUUUGAUACCCGCACCUUCGAGCUUCAGCGUCAGUUGUGCUCCCGUAAGCUGCCUUCGCAAUCGGAGUUCUUCGUCAUAUCUAAGCAUUUCACCGCUACACGACGAAUUCCGCCUACGUUGCGCAUACUCAAGUGAACCAGUUCGCGCUGCAAUUCAGACGUUGAGCGUCUACAUUUCACAACACUCUUAAUCCACGGCCUACGCUCCCUUUAAACCCAAUAAAUCCGGAUAACGCCUGGACCUUCCGUAUUACCGCGGCUGCUGGCAC
rnacentral:rRNA from 1 species